rnacentral:rRNA from 1 species
AGCAAUACGUUAGUGGCGCACGGGUGAGUAACACGUGGGAACCUAUCUUUCGGUUCGGAAAAACGGAGGGAAACUUCCGCUAAUACCGUAUACGCCCUUAGGGGGAAAGAUUUAUCGCCGAUUGAGGGGCCCGCGUCUGAUUAGCUAGUUGGUGAGGUAAAGGCUCACCAAGGCGACGAUCAGUAGCUGGUCUGAGAGGACGAUCAGCCACACUGGGACUGAGACACGGCCCAGACUCCUACGGGAGGCAGCAGUGGGGAAUAUUGGACAAUGGGGGCAACCCUGAUCCAGCCAUGCCGCGUGAGUGAUGAAGGCCUUCGGGUUGUAAAGCUCUUUCGCACGCGACGAUGAUGACGGUAGCGUGAGAAGAAGCCCCGGCUAACUUCGUGCCAGCAGCCGCGGUAAUACGAAGGGGGCUAGCGUUGUUCGGAUUUACUGGGCGUAAAGCGCACGCAGGCGGUCUUUUUAG